GCAGUGAGCCGAUAUGGCGCCACUGCACUCCAGCCUGGGCGACAAAGCGAGACUCCGUCUCAAAAAAUAAUAAUAAUAAUAAUAAAAAAGUGGGACAGAGCGGGAGCGGGGUCAGACCGCUCCUAACUGUCCCCCUGACCCCGCGAUGGGACAGACUUCGUGCUCGCCUGGGAGGAGAAGCUGCGACUCCCGCGGCGGCGGGAGAGAGGCGACUCAGGCUGCGGCGAUGGCGCAAGAAUUUUCAGCGGAACCUGGAGGAGGUGAGCGCAGAGCCGGCGGACUGCAGGUCCCGAGGCCGGGCGCAGACGCCCCUGGCCAGCUCUGAGACCAGCACAAGCGGCUUCAGCAGCUCAUCUGUCAAAUGGGUUUGGCCGUAGUGUCAGCCCUAUGCAGGGGCUGUGACGAUUACACGGACGAAGGGUGUAAAACGCUCAGGCCAGGGCCUGGCACAUUGGAGGCGACCAAGAAAGGGGCAAGAUCAGUCACUAUACGACGCGGCCCACCCGGCGUCUGUCUCCGCGUUUGAAAAACCAGGGUGUUCGUUUUCCUCAUUUGAAAUUUAAACGAGGAAACGCAUGUCAAAGCACUUUUGAAGGCAGAAAGGACCGACGCGAAAAAUGGGACCUGGCCGGGCGCGGUGGCUCACGCCUGUAAUCCCAGCACUUUGGGAGGCCAAGGCGGACGGAUCACCUGAGGUCCGGAGUUCGAGACCCUGGCCAAUACGGUGAAACCCCUUCUCUACUAAAAAUACAAAAAUUAGCCGAUCCCAGCUCUUGGGAGGCUGGGACAGGAGAAUCGCUUGAAUCCGGGAGGCGGAGGUUGUGGUGAGUCGAGAUCGCGCCACUGCACUCCAGCUUGAGCAACAGAGCGAGAUUUUGUCUCAGGAAAAAAAAAAAAAAAAAAAAGGGGGGAUCUGUCACCUCCCGGGACCGUGAGGGGAGGGGCUUAGGGGUCUUUCCCUCUCCUGGGAAAGCAGCCCAGGAGAGCAGCCCCGCGUAGCGCCGCACCAUUUGCCGAGCUGAGCGCGCCUGGGAGCCGCUGUGCUACACCGAGGAACUGAGCCUGCGCGCGCCGCCGCAGGUAGAAGGGCGGGACGGGUCCGCCCGGGGCAGCGUCUCCUCAGGGGCCGUAACCCUGUCCUUGACCCCAGGCCCGGCCCAGCCCCUACUCUGAGGGCUCGGGGCGAGCCACAACGGCGCCUGCGCCUGCGCAACCCUCUGCAGCAGAAGGUGCGCAGCCGGCGGUAGGACACGUGCGCCUUCCGCAGCUCGGAGCCGGGCAAGUGAGACCGGGUGGCGCCUCGAGUGGGCGAGGUCUGUCCGCGGAGGGGCAGGAGCCAGUAGAAGCCUUAGCGUAGCCAAGGCUGAUUUGCCCCUCCUCCGGGUGCCUCAGAGGCAACUCCCGCGUCACUCGCUUUAGGUCUCCGACUCUGUCCUUUCCGCAAACUGGAGCCCCGGCCCUGCCCACUAUCCCUGAUUCCUACCUGUUCAAUCCGAUCUGGUGCUCACCUGACUGGAACACACGCAGCCCAGGCUGCGCUCUGUGGGCAGAAGAGCUCUCUGGCAAUGGCAGCUGGCGUGUCUCACCUGCCUGUCUGCAACGGAGAGGCUCUGGACUGGUAUUAGGUUUCAGAUCGGGCUGAGGGCUGGGCUUCUGACCCCUGUUCCUCUCACAGAUUCCUGGGCAGCGAUUCCCAUGACUCCUACUUCUCCUACAUGUGGAGGCACUGAGUGGUGAGACGGCUGCUUGGGGCGAGUCCAGCUGGGACCUUAAGCGGGCAGUUGACACCAGGACUCCCCUGGCAAGUGGCAGAAAUCCUGGCCCGCGCAAUCUCCGGGAAGAAGAAACAUACAGAGAUGGCCAUCGCCCACCUGCUGGCAGAGGGUGUCUACACUGCAGCCUUCCCACAGCAUGAGGAAGAGAUGUCCCAAGCUCAGAUCUCUCCCAGGCCUGACAGCAUGGCAGCAGUGGCUGGGGCAUCUGGAGAGCACUCUCAAACCUCCCUGCAGCUCUCCCUCCUUUUGUCCUCCUAGGGCCCCUUUGAACUGCCUGGGUACCAGGUACCCAGUUCAGAUCUCAACUCUCGCCAAUUGCUGUACCCAUACUGGGCUUGCUGGGGAUACUGGCACAAGUACAAGCCCCUGGACUACGUAUGAGAGUACUUUGGGGAGAAGGUGGUCAUCCAUUUUGCCUGGCUAGCUGAGCUGCCUCUUUGACCACCCGGGAACUGUGUUCUUCAGUAUCUUCAUGUCCUUCUGGGCCAUGGCCCUCCUGGAGCACUGGAAGCAGGGAGUGCCACCUUGGCCCACCACUGGACUGCAGCGACUUCCAGGACCACGAGGGGGCAGUGAUAUUCCAGAGACCAAGAAUGGCUACGUGGGAAGCACAGAGUUGAGAGUACUGGACUCCUGUCUAACAGAUUGGAUUUGAACACUGGCUCCACCACUCACAAUUUGGGGAGCCUGGGGCAAGUUCUCCAGGUGUGUUUCCUCAUCAGUAAAGUGGAAAUCAUCAUGG
ensembl:lncRNA